UCGCGAAGAAAGAAAAAUGCCAGACAGUGAAUAUAUUGCAUGUACACAAACGAAGUUCAAAGGAUCUUCAUUUGCUCUGCUGAUUUUUUUCUCUAUCAGAUCCACAACACAUUGACAAGUUACUGAAGAAUGCAAAAUGGGGAAUUUUGGGCUUGGCAUGUUUAAUUCCAUGGAAGAGUUUGGAUUUCCUCAUUAAAAUUACACAGAAGUAAGAUGCAAAACUGAACACUGUUCUGAGAGCACGGUGUGCCCCUGCUCCAGUACUGUUAGCAGCCAGGGAUUCUGACCCUGCUGGAAACCCUACUGCAGAGCUGUGAUGGCAAGAACUGAGAGGACAUCAAAAUCUCAAACAAGGUACACUCCUGUGGAUUUGGAAAGAAAUAAGACACUUAAACAUUCCUGCUAUGGUUUCC